GUAGAUAGCUGACCUCAUCGAGGACUACCGUUGGGUUUGCAUUCUUCAAAUUGUAGGUUUAUAGUCCUCUCUACUUUUGUUUAUUCGGGAGCCCACUUAUUAUUGUAAAUUAAAUUAAAUACUUUGACUUACUAUAUUACAGUAUGUAUGAAUUUAUUUAACUUUUACGCUAUAAAAAAAUUAUUUACGUAUAACUCCAAAAAUAUUGUUUUAUAAGAAAACAGAAUAUUUUACUUAAUAUUUCUUUUAUUUUCUUAUUAUAUCCAAAUAAUCGCAAAUUCGUUUUAAAUGAAGAUUUUAGACUUUUAAACUCAUUUUGAUUAUGAAUUAUGUGUUUUAUACUUGUAUAUUACAUUUUAGCCGAUUUCGAAAUUUUUAGGAAAAAAUGACUAAAAUACUCCUGUGAGAUGGAAAUUAUUAUUUUAUUUGUUUUGAGUUGGAAAUAGCUUAAAAUCUUCUAGAACAUGAUUUUCGGUAACGGUUACUCACAAGGGAAAUGAGAUACUGAUAUUAAGCCUUGCGGGGUCUCGGUUGGCAUUCCGAAAAAUGAGUGUCUAUCGGGAUACCGCGACGAUUGUCACGGGCUCCAGGGGAGUACCGGGUCGUGACAUAUUCUUCAUUGGCCGAAUUUUCUAGGGAGGAUAUUGUGGCUGAAAUUGAUGAUAUUUCAUGAUAUUUUGGUGAUAUUUGAUGUUUGGUGAGGCUAGAAAUUAAAUGAGAAAUUUUGGUGUGAAAAUCCAAAUUUUUGCUCAAUGUAUAGACAUGUGUGAUUAUUGACCCGGGACUGAUAAAUUGAAUCUCAUUCAUAGUCACUGAGGUAAUUUAGGUAUAAUUGGAGUGUAGAAAGUGAGAAGAAUUGAUUUGGAGUUAAAUUGGAGAUUUUAGCCGAUUAGAUCGAGCAUAGUGUGACUUAGGUCGAAUAUCACAUUUAAGCGAUUAAUCGGACAUUUCACAUUCCAUAUCAUGCAUUAGUAGUCUAAAUUAGUUUAAAUUCAAUUUAGUACCAAUGAAGUAAAUUUCUCGAUUUUGUACUGUGUCAAGGUGGUGAGUCCUUCGAUAAAGGCAAGGGAAUUGCAUCCGAGGACCAGUAAUUUGAGUACUUUGAAAAUCCCUACUCUAGACAUUGUGAGUAACCUUAUCAUCAUUUUAAUUAUCUAAAGUAUGUUUUUAUUUGGUUUUGGUGAAAUUUUAUGAAAUUGAGUUAAAUAGCUAAUUUUAGGUUUUAUAAACAAAAAUGAGUUUAAAUGAAAAUAUUUAAUAAAUUGUCUUAAAAGGAAAUAACGAUUUUGAAAAUAGAGUAAUUAGAGACCACUGAGACGUUGUAAGUUUGAGAUUGAAUUGAUGGCUUACGUUAUUGUGUUAGCAUGACUGGCUGGGCUGUGUUUUAUGAAUUGUAUGAAUUGUUUUAUUUUACCCUUGCAGGCUGGGUAGUAAUAUAUUAGCCCCGUCAUGCUGUCAAAAUUUUAUUGUAUGGUGGGUUUAACCUGCUACAGGGGGCAGGUUUUCUGUGGACCAGCCUAUUAGAGGGGCACGAAAUUCCGAUAUAUUUUACCUCGGUUGGAGAGGCGAGUAGGGUAACUCCCGAGGUAUAACUUUUAGAGUUCACUUCACGCCAAACCACCAUGUGAGGGGGAACUCAGUCAACGCUAAGGAACCGCUAUGUUUUUAAAAUAAAAACAUGAUUUAUACAUACAUAACUUUUUAAUAGCCUCGGCGGACUCAGUUGGGAUAGCCCUCGGUCAAGGUAUCCCUGAUAACUGAGUAUGAUAAUGAUUUUGGCAUCAGCCAAGUUUUAAGAUACUGAUAAGUCAUGUUAAUGUUUUUAAAUGAAAUGAAUAUUUAUGUUAUGAAAAACAUAUUUGGAUGAAAUGUUUUAAUAGUCUCCUUUUACUCGACUUUAGAUAUUUUGAGUGAUGUUUGUUUAUUCACUGGGAUUUUAUAAUCUCACCAUCCUCUUUUCCAUCCAUCACAGGCUCAGAAUAGAUUAUAGAUAAUUGAUAUCGUCGAGGACUACGGUUGGACGUGCCACAUCCAAAAAUUGUAGGUUCAUUUCUUUUGAUACUUUUAGUUAUUCGUGGGCCCACGUGUCACUGUAAAUUUG
rnacentral:lncRNA from 1 species